rnacentral:rRNA from 1 species
UACAGGGGGGGCAAGCGUUGUUCGGAAUUACUGGGCGUAAAGGGCUCGUAGGCGGCCAACUAAGUCACACGUGAAAUCCCCAGGCUUAACCUGGGAACUGCGUGUGAUACUGGAUGGCUUGAAUUCGGGAGAGGGAUGCAGAAUUCCAGGUGUAGCGGUGAAAUGCGUAGAUAUCUGGAGGAACACCGGUGGCGAAGGCGGCAUCCUGGACCGGUAUUGACGCUGAGGCGCGAAAGCCAGGGGAGCAAACGGG